rnacentral:ncRNA from 2 species
GUGGACGUGCCGGAGUGGUUAUC